rnacentral:rRNA from 1 species
AUAUCAAUAAGCGGAGGAAAAGAAACCAACAGGGAUUGCCCCAGUAACGGCGAGUGAAGCGGCAACAGCUCAAAUUUGAAAUCUGGCCCUCGGGUCCGAGUUGUAAUUUGUAGAGGAUGCUUUUGGCGCGGUGCCUUCCGAGUUCCCUGGAACGGGACGCCAUAGAGGGUGAGAGCCCCGUCUGGUUGGACACCAAGCCUCUGUAAAGCUCCUUCGACGAGUCGAGUAGUUUGGGAAUGCUGCUCUAAAUGGGAGGUAUAUGUCUUCUAAAGCUAAAUAUUGGCCAGAGACCGAUAGCGCACAAGUAGAGUGAUCGAAAGAUGAAAAGCACUUUGAAAAGAGAGUUAAAUAGCACGUGAAAUUGUUGAAAGGGAAGCGAUUAUGACCAGACUUGGGCUUGGUUGAUCAUCCGGCGUUCUCGCCGGUGCACUCUUCCGGCCCAGGCCAGCAUCAGUUCGCUGCGGGGGAUAAAGGCGUCGGGAAUGUGGCUCCCUCGGGAGUGUUAUAGCCCUUCGUGCAAUGCCCUGCGGUGGACUGAGGACCGCGCUUUAUGCAAGGAUGCUGGCGUAAUGGUCAUCAUCGACCCGUCUUGAAACACGGACCAAGGAGUCGUCUUCGUAUGCGAGUGUUCGGGUGUCAAACCCCUACGCGUAAUGAAAGUGAACGCAGGUGAGAGCUUCGGCGCAUCACCGACCGAUCCUGAUGUUCUCGGAUGGAUUUGAGUAAGAGCAUACGGAGCCGGACCCGAAAGAAGGUGAACUAUGCCUGUAUAGGGUGAAGCCAGAGGAAACUCUGGUGGAGGCUCGCAGCGGUUCUGACGUGCAAAUCGAUCGUCAAAUAUGGGCAUGGGGGCGAAAGACUAAUCGAACCUUCUAGUAGCUGGUUUCCGC